rnacentral:tRNA from 2 species
CGGGGUGUGGCGCAGUUGGUAGCGUGCCUGGUUUGGGACCAGGAGGCCGGGAGUUCGAGUCUCCCCACCCCGACCA